GGGGCGACGGCCAGAAGUCCAGGGCUAGGAGCCUCAGCCGGCGGACGCCAGGAAACAGAUCUGAGAGCUGAGAAGUCCAAGAUGAAGUCUCUGGCAGAUUUGAUGUCUGUUACUGAUGCUACAAUAUUCCUUUAUGAAGCCAAGAACUGAACCAAAAUACAAACAACAUAAACUACCACUUGAUGAGAAGAACUUCAAAGUCAAAUUGCAAAAGGUGACUAAAAAAGGAGAGUACUUUCAGCCGUUUUCAAAAUAAUCUAUGAUAUGUACUGGAAAACUUCUAAUAAUCCUUGUCAUUUUACAACUUUCCCACAGUUAGAUCAUCAGCAAAUGUCACUUGGAUCCCUAGCUAAAUUGUUCUUCCCAGAAAAUAGUUAUCUCCACUAUGGAAAGUAUUUUAUCAGAAGAAUUCGUAGAAGUAGAAUCUGUUUGUCUUCAGUUAAACAAAAGAAGAACCUCAUUGCUUUCCAACUGGGCCCCGGCCAUUUUCCAGUUGAAACAUCAAAUAUUUUAUUUGUGUCUUUCACUGCCAAUUAAAGGGCAACAGAAAUGGUACAGGCUCCCUCUGCAGUGGAAUUACCCUUAUGUCUUUUCUGUCUAUGCUGAUCCACCUGAUCUUGAACUGGUGCUAUUCCAUGGGGAAAAUUGGAACAUGGGGCAAUUAACACUUUCUCCACUUUAUCCCAUCAACAGGAAAUUGAAAUAUGACCAACUAACUCAGGAGACAUCAUGGAAGAUGUCACACAGUGAAUGAUGAUGAAGCAGAAUUUUUAAAAUGUGUAGGAUUACGAGAAGUGGGGUCAUUUUUCUUUGUGUAUGGUAUUGCUGAUGCAGUUUAAUGCUCCAUUACUUCUAAAUUUUCAUCAUAAGCUAGAUUUUCCAGUUGUGGUUUCUAUAAAGAAAAACAAACAUUCUGAAGACAGUUUUUCCAGAUUUAUUCCAGAUAUCGAUGAUUAACUUUUGAAGCUCCUCUGUUGAUUUGAACAUCCGCUGAAGCUUAUUUUUCACCUCAGAAUAGCAUCAACAUUAUUUGAAAUUCAAUUGUACUUUCUCGUUACAUUAAUAAAUCAUGGAAGUUGAGAAAA
rnacentral:sRNA from 1 species